AGUCCACCAUGCUGGGAAAGCGCUGGCCCCAGAAGCCUGAGGAGCUAAGAACACUUUGUUGACAGGAGGCAGAGCCCGAUGAAUGCCUGUGCUCAUCUCACUUCCUAUUUUUUAUACAGUCUAGGAUCCCAGCCCAGGGAAUGGUGCCACCCACGAUGGGCAGUGUUUACCACCUCAGAGAGCUUACUCAAGAGGGUGUACCCAAUGCCAAGGCUGCUCUGUGAGUGCUGAGCCAUCUUGGGGGAGCCUGUGGUCCCACUGGUGAAGUAAAUGGCCAUCGGCUCUUGACUUCCUGUCUCCACGCAGCUAUGCUCUUCAGAGGCUGAUCUGCAGAUGAACCCCAAGAUAAACGCUGAAGACAGAUGAGUUGAGUCUGUGUCAUUGUUCUGCGCUCCCCUCUUAUCACAGGGGAGUCAUGGAUUGAAUCUGCCACAGAGCUUCCCUGAAUAGAAACUUAGAAGGACUCUAGUGAUCAGGGCAAAGGUUCAACAGCAUAGGUCCUUGUUUUUAAGCUCAUCUCUCUGUGAGCCAAAGAGAUAGCCAAGGUAACUCACCAUGUGAAUUACAGAAGUGUUCUUGUAAUUUAUAAAAAAUUUAAGAACAAUUUGAAUCUUUGUAAGUCGAUACCAUUUCAAGAUUUGGGUCUUAGGAGAAGACCUUUAGAUUCAAAAGCCAAAUAUAUUGAGAUCAAACAAAA